GACCUGCACGAAUGGCAUAAUGAUGGCGGCGCUGUCUCCAGCAGAGGCUCAGUGAAAUCGAAAUCGCUGUGAAGAUGCAGUGUACCCGCGGCUAGACGGAAAGACCCCGUGAACCUUUACUGCAGCUUGACACUGAACUUUGACCUUACUUGUGUAGGAUAGGUGGGAGGCUUUGAAGCUGGAACGCUAGUUCCAGUGGAGCCGUCCUUGAAAUACCACCCUGGUAAUGUUGAGGUUCUAACUCUGUCCCGUGAUCCGGGACGAGGACCGUGUCUGGUGGGUAGUUUGACUGGGGCGGUCUCCUCCUAAAGAGUAACGGAGGAGUACGAAGGUGCGCUCAGCGUGGUCGGAAAUCACGCGUAGAGUAUAAAGGCAAAAGCGCGCUUAACUGCGAGACCCACAAGUCGAGCAGGUACGAAAGUAGGUCUUAGUGAUCCGGUGGUUCUGUAUGGAAGGGCCAUCGCUCAACGGAUAAAAGGUACUCUGGGGAUAAC
rnacentral:rRNA from 1 species